ACCGAUUUUUUUUAUCAUUCAGCCCGCACCCACGAGACGCUCCUCUCCUCCCUCUCCUAUGCGCUCGAUCCCCUCUCACGCCUAGGGUUCGUAGAGGUUGCGCCGCCACCGCUCGGCUCGGCCUCCUCCUUCCCUUCCCUUCCCCCACCUCCAGCCACACUCGUCCGACCACCUGCCGGAUCCCGCGCCGCCACGCCUGCAUCGCUCCGGUCAUCUCCCACAACUCGCGCAUCGCAACGGCGCUCGCGCCCGCGCGGUCUCCUCCAUGACCUAUCUCCCUUGCGGCGGCGGCGGCACACAUGCCGCAUCCGACGGCGAGCUCCACAGGUCAACGCAUCCUCUCUUCUCUCCCAUGGAAGUCCCUCCCCUCUCACAUCUCUCUCUCUGUCUGCGAGCGGUGGCGGCCGGCUGCGCGACAGGUCGAUCUGGUCACGCCUUCCCACCAUCGACCUCGCCGUCAUUGAAGCACGCCACCACGCCGCCGCUCUUCUGUCUCUCCCUUCUCGCCUCCCGCGGCCAAGGAGCGCCCCAACCUCGCCAUGUCGCUCGUGUGGCUCCCAUGGUGCCGCCCCGCAUAGCUCCUUGCUGAGCGCUGCAGGUCAUGAUGCCCGCCGAUUUGAUCUGCACAGCCACUCAAUCCUCGGAACUCCCGAUCGACGGCAACUCGACCGGGGGCUGGGGUGAGAAGACUUCGACAAUGCAGACGAGGAAGAUCACGUCGUGGACGAUUGCCUCAGCUAGGGUCCUUUGUUGUCAUGGCACCGUUGACCCUGUGCUGCGGGCCGGCGAGGUCGUUGAACUUGCCGAAGGCAUCACCAAGCUUCUAUCUCUAGAUCUGCACCAAUCCUUGUCAGAAAAUUGAGAAGUCAUGGCAUAGUCAAAUCUGAACAAGCCGUGUGGAGCUUCGCCAUGAGUCUGCGCAUGAAUUUGGGAAUGGACGGAUGUCACUCCGAAAAAGUCAGAGAAUAUUUUCAAUGCGCAGCAGGACAAGAGAAAAGAAGAGAAGCAAAGAGAGGGUUACAUAGACAAAAAUGCCUCCUAUUUACACAAAGGCAACUCGAGGAAGGUCCAGAUUUCUCAUGACUGCUUCUUCGGCAUUUCAUGCAUGUGCCAUCUUAUUAGAAAAUGUAGUUUGUUUUAUAGCUGAUGAUGCUUGAUGCUUUUAUCGAUUAGUAAAUGCUCAGCUUUAGCUCAUAAACUACAUGGCAAAAGCUAAUUCCGAUGGGUCUGAUGCAAAUAAUUUUCAUCUUUAGACAUUUCUUUAGUUGAUUAUUUAAUCCUUUUAUAAGAAUCUAUUUAGCUUUGUAUUGUUGCAGUUUCAUUAUAUAUCCACUUACCAAUGCAUCUAAAGAUUCAACAAUGUAGAAUCCAGCAUCAGUCUUGGGACUACAAAUUGUUUCUUCAUUCCUCCGUGUUGCACUGUAGGUGAUAAGGGGUUGAGGUCGUAUGUUCGUCGUGGCAUCAAUACAGUAAUACACUUCACUUUCCUUUUCCUUUUUCCGUUCUUGCAUUUAUUUCUUCUUCGCGGACCUCUCUGUCUACUGCUUUAAUAUGGUUCUGAUUGGUGCCCUGCAUCUUCCAAGAUAUAUGGAUUUUGGUCGAGGUAGUCAUCACAUAAGUAAAAUGCUAUCAACCUCUCAAUUUCUGAAUGGAUUUGUUAAAUUGCCUUUCUCUUGUUGGAUCACAUACCUGAUUUGUUUGUUGUCCUUGAAGCAAAUACCAUGACAUGAGCUUGAAGAUUUCAAAGAUACAGAAGGUUGACAGAAAGAGGAUACACUGAUUUCAGCUGCGGACAUUGAGCCGAGUCUCUCCCUAAUAGGCAACUCACCUUUCAACAUAUUCAUUGCAGAAGCAGAAACAAUGGGAUACAUGACCUGCAUACUUGCAUUCUGACAUGUUUUUGCCCGUGCCGUAAAAUUGGAAUGAUGUCCAUGCUGUUAACCUCUACAACUUACCCACACUUCAGAUAACCCAAGGUGUUUCUCUCUACUUUGUGCUCCAGAUUUGUUUCCCUACAAUAUGGCGGAUUAAUGUAUAUUCUUCUGAAGUCAUAGUACAUUCAUGGUCUGUAUAUAUGUUUGUAUGCUGCAAACCUGAGUCCGGUUUCAAAGUUUGGCCGCAGCUAGCUUGAUUUGGAGACAUUUCCUGUUAGGAGUUAAACUUUGGUUUGGAGGCAUCGAGCUUUGGCUGUAACUAGCUUUGUUACUUGGUAUACCUCUGUCA